UACGUAGGGGGGCGAGCGUUUGUCCGGAUUUAUUGGGGCGUAAAGAGCGUGUAGGCGGCCAGGUAGGUCCGUUGUGAAAACUCGAGGCUCAACCUCGAGACGUCGAUGGAAACCAUCUGGCUAGAGUCCGGAAGAGGAGAGUGGAAUUCCUGGUGUAGCGGUGAAAUGCGCAGAUAUCAGGAAGAACACCUAUGGCGAAGGCAGCUCUCUGGGACGGUACUGACGCUGAGACGCGAAAGCGUGGGGAGCGAACAGG
rnacentral:rRNA from 1 species